ensembl:lncRNA
CCUAGUUACGUUUCACGCAAGUAUAAACUUUGUUUCAGAUGUUUCUCCUAAAUUGCUUAGAAGAAAUAAAAAAUACACACAAAUGAAUCAGUUGUUGAGUUCAUACUGAUAUAUCUGAGAACUGUUUGAGAUGUUGUUAAGAAACUCUGGAUGAGAUGCAUGUGAGAUCAUUUUUGGUUUUAUGAUUUAAGUCUCUCGAUUUAAUCACAUUUCUUUCAUUUGUUAUUUUUCUUUAUAUAAGAAAAGUCCAUCCAAACUGAAUUGCUCACAGGUUGCUCAUUCAUAGUUUAAAAGACAUAAUAGAAAGCCUAUUUAUGUUAAUGUAAAAAUUCCUUGGAAAAAUUUAAAGUGCACUUAAAGUCAGUUGUUGAGUUCAUAUUGAUUAUUGUUGGUUAUGUCAUUUAAAUCUCUCAAUUUAAUCUAAAUUUCUGUCAUUUGUGAUUUUUAAUUUUUUUUAUUAUUAUUACAGAAAAGCCCUUCCAAACUGAAUUGCUCACAGGCUGCUCAUUCACAUCGCAAAAGACCUAAUGGAGAUCCUUGUUAUGUUUCAUGUAACGUCAGUUUGUCGGUGUCUGUCAGCAAGAACUCGACUGUGCUGGUUGACUGGAACAGCGGGAGCAAACAGACGACCCAAUGUGCUCUGCUCGUCUCAACCGAAGGAAGACAGGAGAUCCAGAUACACCUUUUACCAUGGUUAA